GAGAAGUGGCGAGAGAGGAAGAGUGGAGUACUGGAGGAGAGAAAAGAAAACACAAAAUGAAAAGAAGCUACCCCAGCGGUGCUGAAAAGAGGAGGAAGAAGGAGGAAACCCGAAAGUUGAUGUCUAAGUUACCGAAAGUGACAAAUUUCUUCACUGCGCCUGCGGCAGCGGCCAGCUGCAGCAACAGCAGCAGCAACCCACAACCGCACCACAACAUAGAGGACAGCAGCUGCUGCUGCCCAAAUUUGAGCUGUGUAAAGAGGGCCCCAUGCCUGCCUUUGCCUUGGGCCCCAAAUUUCCUAAAUCCGCCACUGGGAGACUGUACUCGUGUUUGGAGACUCUGACUUCUGUUGCUCUGCAGUUACUGUCCCCAACGAGCAGCAGGUGCUGCUGUGAGCCCAUCCACCAUCCCAAAGCACUCACAGGCAGUCACACUAGCCUGGCGCAGCAGCCCCAGAGGGUAGAAUUUACAUAUAAAUAAACGGACGCAUUUUAUGAUGUAGGCCGAAAAUGAGCUUCCCCUCAUUGAAAGACCAGCAGCCGCCACUGGUUCAGACUGACGCCAAAUUACAAUUGAAAGGAUCAGAUUUCAUGUGAUUUGUGGUGUUCACACUGUGAUGAAAAUAAUAUGAGCAAAGCAAAUUUAUAUAUAUAUGUAUAUUUAUAACAGCGCUGCUUCACUUUGGUGCAUGAGCAAUCACACACACGCACAAUAAUAAAUAAGAUAAAUAAUAUAAAUGUAUAAAAACGCUGAAAUGAAACUGUAUUGCUCAUGGUUAAGUCAAGGAAAAUAGAUAUUAACACAGUGUUGUAGAUGGAUCAGUGGCAGUGCAGAUGAGUCAGUCACUGUGUGUAUGAGUUCACUGUGCUUGUGGCCUCAGGGAAAAACUGUCUCUGAAUCUGGAUGUGCGUGUUUUGACAGACUUGUAACGCCUGCCAGAGGGCAACAGUUCAAACAGGUGCUGACCUGGAUAAGUGGAGUCCUGAUGUGAGUGGCACUGCUGAGGUAGCAGGAGCUGGUGAUGUCUUCCAGGUAGGGCAGAGAGCAUCCGAUGACUUUCUUCACUUCUGUCUGAACGUGGCCGGAUUGGCUCGGAAAGAGCCUCACAACACUGUGCCGGCUCCUCACCCUCCUCCAUGUCCUCACCCACCUGGAACAGAGCAGCACCAUGAUAAUUAUGACACAUAAAUAUUACUGGAGCUUCUGAAGGAGCACUGACAGGAGGGAUGUUUUUGUCUUAGUGUUCAAAUCUACAGUUUCUCGAACAUGACGAGUUCAUAUCACUGCAAAGCAUUGUAAACAUGACAACCAGCCCGCAUCCUUACUCAUGUUGUCUUUGUCUUCACCAAGAAUCACCCUGAAUGCCAUAAAGUUUGCCAUGUCUGCAGCAAAUAGAAAUGAUGACCAGACAUAACUGCCCAACAAGGCAAAUCCAUCACUCUGUCUUUCUCAAAUCGGCCCUAAUUCCACAAGGUAUUUUUGUGCUCUUGGUAACCUGUGACCAGACAGAAUCACCCUGCAACCAGCUAGGGGUUUCACCGAAUAGUCGACUAUUCAAAUAUUUGACUAUCAAAACCACUAAUCGACGCUAUGCGUCACAGUCGAGUAUUCGUCUUUUUCUUGUUUUUCUUUUUUCAAAAGCCCCGUGCUGUAAUAAUGCGGUGGCAUGGCAUCUACAUUAAUGAUCUACAGCAGAUAUGCAGCUGGGGGCGCUGUGGGCAUGUGAGACUAGUGUAGUGUGUGUGUGACGUCAACACGUAAGGCCACUGUUUGGGCCUCACUACACCAGUAAAAAAGUAAGGACUGACAGCACCUGUCCAGAGGAGGUAGAGGAAUAUUUCCAGGUGACCCGCAUCUCCACAACGAGCAACCCUCUGGAGUGGUGGGCGCGCAAGGAGAAGCAGUUCCCCCGUCUGGCAAAGCUGGCCAGAAGCUACCUGGCUAUCCCAGCUACCAGCACCCCAAGUGAGAGAGUUUUCUCCCUGGCUGGGAACACGAUUACCCGUCAGAAAGCAAGUUUACACCCAGCUCAUGUGGAUGCCCUUGUUUUCCUGAACGCAAACCAAGAGCGCAGGAAUAGGAUUAUUAAAGAGGAGGACUUUGACGAGAGUGAAUAACUGUUUAGCAAGCAGGCACAGACUGAUAGCCCACUGGAAUAUUUUGCUUUUUUGCACUUUCAUUAUGGUGUUGCACUGUGGUGAGUAGGCUAAGUUUUGCAUUUUUAUUUACAACAUUUAA